rnacentral:rRNA from 1 species
GACGAACGCUGGCGGCGUGCUUAACACAUGCAAGUCGAGCGGUAAGGCCCUUUCGGGGGUACACGAGCGGCGAACGGGUGAGUAACACAUGGGUGACCUGCCCUCAGCUCUGGGAUAAGCCUGGGAAACCGGGUCUAAUACUGGAUAUGACUCCAUGACGCAUGUUGUGGGGUGGAAAGCCUUGUGCGGCUGAGGAUGGGCCCGCGGCCUAUCAGCUUGUUGGUGGGGUGAUGGCCUACCAAGGCGACGACGGGUAGCCGGCCUGAGAGGGCGACCGGCCACACUGGGACUGAGACACGGCCCAGACUCCUACGGGAGGCAGCAGUGGGGAAUCUUGCGCAAUGGGCGAAAGCCUGACGCAGCGGCGCCGCGUGAGGGAUGACGGCCUC